GAUGAACGCUGGCGGCGUGCUUAACACAUGCAAGUCGAACGGUGAACACGGAGCUUGCUCUGUGGGAUCAGUGGCGAACGGGUGAGUAACACGUGAGCAACCUGCCCCUGACUCUGGGAUAAGCGCUGGAAACGGCGUCUAAUACUGGAUAUGUGACGUGAUCGCAUGGUCUGCGUCUGGAAAGAAUUUCGGUUGGGGAUGGGCUCGCGGCCUAUCAGCUUGUUGGUGAGGUAAUGGCUCACCAAGGCGUCGACGGGUAGCCGGCCUGAGAGGGUGACCGGCCACACUGGGACUGAGAAACGGCCCAGACUCCUACGGGAGGCAGCAGUGGGGAAUAUUGCACAAUGGGCGCAAGCCUGAUGCAGCAACGCCGCGUGAGGGAUGACGGCCUUCGGGUUGUAAACCUCUUUUAGCAGGGAAGAAGCGAAAGUGACGGUACCUGCAGAAAAAGCGCCGGCUAACUACGUG
rnacentral:rRNA from 1 species